CAUAGAAUAAAUCCAGUUUUUUAAACACUCAAAGUUACUAAAAAUAACGGUAUCUUGAAAUCAAAUCCUUUAUGCCCCAUCCAAGUCAGAAAUAUGCUGUUUUCCCACUGGCAGAGGAAGAAAAAGAUUCCUACUUAAAACCAGGCUCUCUUUUCCUGUUGAAGUUCAGAUUUCUCAACCCAAGAUCACAGCCUCUUACCAGUCAAUAAGUUAUGAUCACUCCAAACCUUAGCCCAGCACUGGGCUGGUGAACACACACAAGGACGGAAUAUUAAAAGAGGGAAGGAUACUUCUCUGGAAGUUCAUAGCUGCUUAGCCAAAAGCAGUAACUUGCCAAACAGUACCUGCAGGUAAACCAGUUAGAAAUGCCAUGACCACAAAAGUAGAAUAAAUACGCCACCUCUACAUACAUUAAACACACUAGUUAAAGGUUAAAAGGAGCAAACAAAUAGAGAAAGCCUUUUCAGGAGGGAGAUUUUGAUCAAACUUGACGCUGAAUAGAAAGAGUGUUCGAUAAGCAGUAACAGCAGGAAAUUAAAACCAGAAAAAUCACUCUCUCUGGCAAAACCAUGCACUACAGAAACCUGAAAAAUCCACUGGAUUGGGCUAUACUCCUCCACAGAUCCAGUUAUCCAAAAAAUAAAAAGAUCCAAGGAACCAAAAAACACAGAGAAAACUGGAAAAGGAACAAAGUCAUAAUAUAGAUCUCAAGAAGCAUGACCUGUAUUCAAAAACCUUUUCUAAAUCCUAUUCACAAACCUACAGGUAGUCCAGCCUCCUGCUUCAGACCCACAUCCUGUUACCUACCAAAAGGAAGCCACAACAACCUACCUUGUCUGCCCUCUGGAAUCAAGUCAAACAGCAUAAGAUUCAAAAAUGUAUUCUUAAAACAUCAACACAAAGGUUGCAGAUUCAGGAAACAGUUGGCAGACUAAAAAAAGGAUGAGUCAAAAUAUACGAAAUUAAAAAAAAGGCAAACCAAAACCAAACCAGCAAGAGAACAGAAAAACUACUCAACAUGGAAACUAUUCAGAAAAUAAACCCCCUUCAAGUCAUAGCUGGAGCUGGUAGCAUGAAUUGCACUUUCAGUUGCCAGAGCUUCCCACUGUAAGAGCCUGUUCUCUGUUAAUUACAAUCUCUGCCACACAAGGGGCUCAAGGUGGAAGUUCAUGUAUGAAAGCGUGGCUAUGGUGAUCUCUGGCCAAUCAGUUGCAGAAGGUCUGCUGUUGUCUCGUUUUAAAGUUCUUACCUCAAAUAUAUUCUAAUAUGCCUAAAAUAGGGUUAUGGGAAAAUGCCCUGUUUGCCUAUACUAAAAAUGCUGCCAUUCAUCAAAUAAGUUUCUCUACUGUUAUACUUUGUGCUGGCCUCAGUAUUCACACUGAACACGCUCUGCCUCACAAACAUGCUUCCUCCCCAUGGCCUUGUACAAGUUCCCCAGAUUAUGCCCAAACUAGAAACAAAAUUAAAAAAAUUAAAAAGUACAUUUCAUAUAUGCUAAACAGGAUGUGUCAGCUAAGCUGCCUGCAGAUCUCAUCUGCAGAGGGUCAUGCCCAAAGCACUUACUGAAUCUCUAAACGAGAGUGAGUACAUACUGCUCAGCAGGUACAUACUAUACAGUACAUACUAAUGGGAAUAUUCAAGUGCAGAUAAAGAGAAAAAAUAAUUUCUUCCCAGAAAUCCAUAUUCACAGCUCCACGAGGGAACUAUGUUGCUUGCCAUCACAGAAUAGAAGUAAGCAUCCACCUGUGACUUUGGGCAUAAGGCGGCUCAGCUAUCUACACCAAAAUGAGUGAAGGUAAGAACAGAGAGGAAAGCAGCAGGAAAGAAGAUGACACCAGACUACGGCAGCAGCAGACAAGGAACAAACCACAACAGGAGCAGAUGACUACAUCACAAAAAGAUACACAGAGGCACAGAAUCGAUCACAGAGUCAAGCACUAGAAAAGACUUCUCUAGAACCUGGAAGUAUUACCAGGAACGCCUCCUGCCCUCGUGUUUUCGUGCUAUGAAAUCCACCGCUAAUGUGCCCCACAGUCCCCGUGUAACAAUUACAGCAGAGGUUAACAACCUACUGCUGCCAGCACUUGCUGUACCACCUGCAGGGGUGGAGACACCUCAAUGACUUUAAAAUGUUCUCUGCUGUAACUCAUGACUAGCCAUUUCCGGAUGUGUAAUUUCUGAACCAUCAAGAACAAACAUUACUUCCAGAAAUAUCUGUUUCAAUAAUGUUAAAAUGACAAUGUCUAUCAGCCAAAAAGAUGGGAGGAAGUCUAAACCAACAUUAGCCCAGACCUCUUGUAUGUGUAUGCUCCCAUUAAGACUUUAAUCAUCUAAACAGGUACCUCUCCUCCACCCAAAGGAUCCCAACUGAAUUGGUAGGCAAACAGUGACAAAAAGACUGGUACCAUGAAUGAGCAAUAGGGCUUACUGGUGGCACUGAAAAAAUCUAAUCGCUGAAGUUCAUGAGAAAAGUUAUUUUUAGCAUCACAGCAAGAAGCAAUGCAAUGGACCAACAGAACCAUGUACACUCUCUGUACACAGAAGUUAAAGCAGCACUCAAAACUCAUACCAGGACAACGGCUUUAUUUACUGUGGCUGGAACCUUAUCACUUUCUGCAAAGUUGCUAGAAGACAGCUUUGCCCUCGCUCAUAAAGCCUGCAUUGUUAAAAUACUGGGGUUUGUUUUGGUUUUCAGCUUAGCUCAAUUCUCCCUAAUGCUCACACUCCAGUGGAGGUUAACCCUCCACUUCAUCAUUGCAGACAUUGUUUCCAUGAAACAUCAACAUCUUGACUAUCCUGAGUUCACAGGAAUGUGAGAAUGCUGACCUGACAGGCUGCAGUGGAACCAGUGAAUGACAGAACUACUGUCUUCUGAUGAUCUCCUCCACAGCCCCAGUCCCACAGCACCACAUGCUCACAGAGCACAGAUGCGAGCAAAGUCACAGACAGAUCUUACAUAAAUGCUUCCAAAACAGCUAAGGAAAAAUAAAAAAAGAUAAUGCAAAGAGAUUGUGUUUCUGGUUCCAUAUGGGAAAGAGCCAACGCACACUGGUCUGGCAAGAAAAUGAGGAAUAGUUUGUGUUUGUGAAAGAUGAUUAACUACUAGUUUAUGACCGGGAAUAUGCGAACAGGUUCAAAGUGCUACAGAUCUACUUUAUGAGAGGCUACAUUGCCUCUUCAGGAUGUUUCAAGGCAAAACAUCCUUCACACAUGCCAAAGCUUCAAAAGUCCAGGAAAAUCUGGAAAGCUUCUUUCAUAAUCAGAUUCUAACAUCAGCCUUCUGUAUGUUUACAGCUACUUGGGACUUUGCACGCCAUGUCCUCAGCUCAAUAUCAGACUUUUUUCCUGGCUUCUCUUAUUAAGAGAAAAACAAACAGAUAUAAAGUUAAUGCAUGAAGAGAUCCCAUUAAACACCAUAUGGCUUUCUUCUCACUCAUGACCAGUGGAGACAACACAUGAACAUGAGCGCAAAGCAGGACUCAGCAACUGGUUUAGUCCCAUUUUGAUGUCACACUACUUAAAAUCCUGCUACCAUGAAAGCUCACAGACUAUUCGCACUAUUAAAUUACUUUUUGCUCUGGGCUGCACAAAGGGAAACCUCCAAGAUGGCUUACAGCUUAAGCAUUCAAAUGGGAAACGAUAAAAAGAAAACGUCAUGUCUUGAUUUAAAAGGGGCCGUUUCAGAUUUCGUUUUCUACCCAUUCCCUCGGAAGUGCCAGCUCACACAGAGAUUAAUAAACUAUACUACAGCAACGUGCUGCCAUCUCACGGUCACACUUAAAGCUGCAACAUUAUCUGGCUAGGUCAGAAACGGCUACUGCAGGCGGAACGACAAUGCUUCCUCCUAGCUCAUUUUUGAGGUACCAUAUAGGCACAGCAAGAUGACAAUACAGUUAGCUUUCCAAUAUUUAGGGCAUUUUAGACCUAUGUUACCCAGAUGAAGAAAAGGUUUCCAUGUAGUCAGUUAGUACAGGACGCACUGUAGAGUAUGGUAUAGAUUACAAAGUCAUUUCAGCUAUGUGCAUGAGAAGUUCCAGUACUUCUGUGCCCAUGACCGGUCCCCAAGCUGGAGAAAUCGGAUGCAAACAACUGAGGGCUGACUGCAUUUUUAGCCAAAGACAGACAAGAACUUCACCGCUGCAAUGCACAGUCAUCUCUCCAAGAACAGUGUUCUCCUCACUUCCCAAGAGCCAAGUAACCAUCGCGUCCACCUCUCCCAUGUUUUUCCUCCCAGAACAUCCUCAAACAUCUGAAAUGGGGUUUUUAUAACAUAUGGCCUGCUAUGCAAUAUGCUUGACCUACAGGGGAAAUCCCUGACCUGAAUACUGACUUUUUCUUGUAUACACCCAACCGUCAUACAGUGAAUAAAGAAAAGAAACUAGAAAGUAA